CCUACGGGAGGCAGCAGUGAGGAAUAUUGGUCAAUGGGCGGAAGCCUGAACCAGCCAAGUAGCGUGCAGGAUGACGGCCCUACGGGUUGUAAACUGCUUUUAUACGGGAAUAACGCGCCUUACGUGUAGGGCUUUGCAUGUAACGUAUGAAUAAGGAACGGCUAAUUCCGGUCCCGCAGCCGCGGUAAUACGGAAGGUCCGGGCGUUAUCCGGAUUUAUUGGGUUUAAAGGGAGCGUGGGGCGCAUGUCAAGCGUGCUGUGAAAUGUCCGGGCUCAACCCGGGCCUGGCAGCGCGAACUGGCGUGCUUGAGUCCGCGGAAAGCAGGCGGAAUUCGUGGUGUAGCGGUGGAAUGCUUAGAUAUGACGAAGAACCCCGAUUGCGAAGGCAGCUUGCUGCAGCGGAACUGACGCUGAUGCUCGAAAGCGCGGGUAUCGAACAGGAUUAGAUACCCCUGUAGUC
rnacentral:rRNA from 1 species